ACCUGGGUGGCUCAGUCGGUUAAGCAUCUGACUUCAGCUUAGGUCAUGAUCUCAUGGCUCGUGGGUUCAAGCCCCACAUCAGGCU
rnacentral:tRNA from 1 species